AUGAGAGGUCUGUGGACAUUGCCUGGGAAGACAGCGGGGCCCUUCCCAGCACCUGGGGAGCAGAGCUGGCCCCGGGCCCUGCCAUCUGUCGCUGAGGGAACACUUCCAGCAGGCACAGAAGCAACUGGAGGAGGAGGAGGUGUGACGACCCGAGCCAUGCGGCGGAGGCCAGCCCCACGCUGCUCAUCCAAAGUCAAAGGCAAAGCUCACCUUGCAGCCAGACCUCCCAGCUGGGUGAGGCAGCUUCCGACCAGCGUUGACCCUAAAUUGUAUGCACGCCCUCUUGAGCUCAGGCUGCUGCCAACAGAGCACCGCAGAAGGGUGGCUCCCUCCCAUCCCAGGGGCUUUGAGCACUCCAAGUCCAAGUGGAAGUGAGGAAGUCCAAGUUCAAGGUGAGCUCUCCUCAUGGAUGCAGUGGCUGCCUUCUCGCCGUGUCCUCACACGGAGGAGAGAGACGGAGCUCUGACCCCUGUUCAGCCGCUUCCCAGGGCACUAAUUCCGUUACAGGGACCCACCCUCACGCCUCAUCCCCACCUGUUUGUGUCCCAAAGGCCCCUGUGUCAAAUACCAGCACAUCUCCGGCUGCAGCUUCAGCACCAAGUUUCAGGGAACCCUAGCACCGUUCUUCCCAAACACCUUCCAUGAGCACCCCCCCCAGUAAAUGGGGCUGGGUGGCCCCACUCUGCUGUAACCCCCACGUACUGUGAGAUCUUCAUUGCUCAGCUGGUCUGGGACCACUCUCAGGGCAGGGACAGAGCCACACCCACCACUGCAUCCCAGGGCCAGGGCCUGCCAUACAGCAGGUGCUCAGUAAAGCCGAUGCCUUCUCUCAGCUGCCCUGACUUCCUGCUCUGGAUCCCCAUGGCCUCGUCCUCUCACCUCCUGCCUUGGCUGAGCAGGAGGUAGAUUUGUACGACUUCUACCUCUUGCCUGGCGCCUAAGUCCCACCUUCCUCAGAGGGACGUGAGCUCAUCCAAGAACAGAUGCGUUAGUGGCUUCGAGAAGUGGUUCUAUAUUUGUGGAUGGAGAGGGAACGGAGGGAUCAAACCAUUUUUUUGAAUUAAGUUAUUCUGUUUAUUCAAGAAGCAGAGACAGAAGAGAUCUCCCAUUGUUGGUUCAUUCCCCCAAAUGUGUGCAAUGGCCAGGACUGGGCAGGGCCAAAGCCAGGAGCCAGGAGCUCCAUCGAGGUCUCCCUCGUGAGUGGCACGGCCC
rnacentral:lncRNA from 1 species